CUUUUCCGAGCCUCUGAUGUCCAUCACCCCGAGCUAUUUUCUGAACGAGUUCAAGUACAGGAGAAUAUCUGUCCACCGUCAGAGUUGGACUGGCCCCACUUUCCUGUGAUACACACUACAGCUGGCAAAUGGUGAAGAACUUUUUUUGCAUCUCUUCAGUGGGCUUGAACAAGUUAUAUACACCAGCUGUAAAUAAAGAUUAUAAUCACAUCAUCAUCACAAGGACCACCAGGACUUCCCAUACUCAGUGAAUUAAAUCUUCAUCACCAAUACUUUCAUAACAUAAUUUGAAUAAAUGUCUCAUUUAUUCUUUGUCUUAUCAUCA